UACGUAGGGUGCGAGCGUUGUCCGGAAUUAUUGGGCGUAAAGAGCUUGUAGGCGGUUUGUCGCGUCUGCCGUGAAAAUCCGGGGCUCAACCCCGGACUUGCGGUGGGUACGGGCAGACUAGAGUGUGGUAGGGGAGACUGGAAUUCCUGGUGUAGCGGUGAAAUGCGCAGAUAUCAGGAGGAACACCGAUGGCGAAGGCAGGUCUCUGGGCCACUACUGACGCUGAGAAGCGAAAGCAUGGGGAGCGAACGGG
rnacentral:rRNA from 1 species